rnacentral:rRNA from 1 species
UACGUAGGGUGCGGGCGUUAAUCGGAAUUACUGGGCGUAAAGCGUGCGCAGGCGGUUUGGCAAGUCAGAUGUGAAAUCCCCGAGCUCAACUUGGGAACUGCGUUUGAAACUGCCAGACUAGAAUAUGUCAGAGGGGGGUAGAAUUCCACGUAUAGCAGUGAAAUGCGUAGAGAUGUGGAGGAAUACCAAUGGCGAAGGCAGCCCCCUGGGAUAAUAUUGACGCUCAUGCACGAGAGCGUGGGGAGCAAACAGGAUUAGAAACCCGCGUAGUCC